UAGAGCAAAAAUCUGUCUCUACUGUUUUUCAUGGUAUCAGAGCAGGACACACGAUCUUGACUCUUCUUUAGUCUUCUCAACAACAAUUUUACAAAGCCACAAUCACCAUGGCUGGUGAUGGUGUCCCACCACCACCAUCCAAUUCAGAUAAGUCAAAAUCUGAUAUCUCAAAUCCAUUCUUCACUCAUCAUUCAGACCAUCCUGGAUUGGUCCUAGUCUCCAAACCAUUGAAUGGAGACAACUACACAGGUUGGAAAAAUGGGCUAUGACAUUAGCUCUCAAUUCUAAAAACAAGCUCGGCUUUGUGAAUGGUUCAAUCAAAGCUCCAUCAGCCGAAGCAGACCCAGAAGGAUAUGCGACCUGGUCAAGAUGCAACGUCAUGGUCCAUUCAUGGAUCGUUAACACAGUAAGUUCUGAAAUUGCUGACAGUAUCAUCUACUAUCCUACAGCUCAUGAGGUAUGGGAAGAUUUAUGUGAGCGUUUUUCACAAGGCAAUGCACCUCACAUAUUUGAAAUUCAGCGAGAUAUCGCUUCACUCAGGUUUCAGCAUACUACAUAAAAUUGAAAAGUUUAUGGGAUGAAUUGGCGUCUUAUUCAGAAGCACCACAAGGAACACAGACAGAUCAACAAAAGCUCAUGUAAUUCUUGAUGGGAUUAAAUGAGACUUACAGUGCGACCCGCGGUCAAAUCCUCUUGAUGAAUCCCCUUCCAAGUGUUAGACAAGCAUAUUCUGCCGUUGCAUAAGAGGAAAAACAGCGUUUCAUUGUGUCUUCACAUGCCGCGGCGGAGUCCAGUUUAAGCGCCGCCACCAUGGCUGUCUGGAGCUGCGUCAGGCCAAAUCAGACAGGCAGUAGAAGCAGUCGUGGUGACCGACCAACUUUUCAAACCGGUCGAGAUGCAGAACGUGGCUUCACCACUCGUUUUGGUUCAGGUCGAGGAAGGGGAAGGCCUCAUUGUACCUAUUGUGGUGAUCCAGGACAUUGGGUCCAAACCUGCUUUCACUUGAUUGGUUUUCCUCCAGGUCAUCCUAAGGCAAAGCAAGGAUCCGAAAAUUUCCCUAAGAAGAACACUGCUGCUCCAGUCAUGCACUCUCCUUCUACAAACCAAGUUACUGCGAUGGACAUUGUAGAAGAGGAGAAUGGAUCAACAAUUACUUCAUCUGAGGCCCAAUUCAAAAAGUUUUUAGCUACACUCCAACAAGCCCAAAAGCCCAAUCCAAAUACUGGCUCUAGUUCCAAAGCAAAUGCAGUAACGUAGCCAGGAUCUGGCUACGAAGAGGACGAUUGGUUUGGGUAAAGAACGUGAUGGGCUAUACUAUUUGGUGGCACUAGCGACGGAGAAAACCAGUAGUCCUUCCAUUACUAGUCCUUCCAGAUCAUCUUACAACCUUGCCAUUUCCCCUACCAAUCUUUGGCAUAAUCGCUUGGGUCAUGUUUCCUCUCCAUGUUUAAGUCACAUAGCAAAGAAUUUCUUACAUUUUUCCAUUCAGCCAAAUAAUGUUUGUCAUGUAUGUCCUUUGGCUAAGCAGAGUCGAUUACCAUUCAGUCCUAGUUCUAUUUCUUCUACAAGACCUUUUGAAAUAAUUCAUUGUGAUAUUUGGGUUCGUUAUCGACACCCUUC